UGUUAUAUGCAGAGAUAGGGUUCGCAAAAAAAAUGCAGAGAUAGGGCUAGAGUUCAGAAGGUAGGUGCUUAACCAGUAGUGUUUGUUUGAGUUGGUGAGGCUGGAUAGGAUGGGAUGUCUCAAACUAACCUACUUGGAACCAAAGGCCUCGGGAACCCAAAGUAAAGUCGGAGAACCCAAUGCUGAGAAGGAGCUUGCUUGGUUGCCUGCCAUCAGUAGCCACGCCGCACAUGUGGUGGUGCCAAAUCUUCGGUGCUAAAGUACGACAUCACAACCAUGGUGGUAGAAAGAACUGACGCUGUGAAGAAAGGCCCUACCAUGGUGUUGGCUUCUCAGGAACCAGCGGUGGCCUUGAUUUUUGUGGCGGCGCCAAACUGUGCUGUGGCAAAAUCAGGCAGAGGUCCAAAAGGCAGAAGAGGGGCUUAGGUAGAUUCGCGCCUCCAGUUCAGCUAGUUUUGUGUUUGGAUGGGAAGAAAAUUCUUACAGCAGGGGACGCUACCUGUGCUUCUGAUGUCCAUAGAUCUCAAAGCACUUUUCCUGAUACUCUUUCAGGGGUGAGAGCGAGCCGUGGCUCUAGGUUCCAGUAGUGGUGUUGCAUUGAUGCUCACUGAACAGCAAUGUAACCAAGGCUAGCAGGGUAUGUA
rnacentral:lncRNA from 1 species